rnacentral:rRNA from 1 species
UACGUAGGUGGCAAGCGUUGUCCGGAAUUAUUGGGCGUAAAGCGCGCGCAGGCGGUCCCUUAAGUCUGAUGUGAAAGCCCACGGCUCAACCGUGGAGGGUCAUUGGAAACUGGGGGACUUGAGUACAGAAGAGGAAAGCGGAAUUCCACGUGUAGCGGUGAAAUGCGUAGAGAUGUGGAGGAACACCAGUGGCGAAGGCG